UGACCAUACUGCCUCUUAUGAAAAACAUUGUGAUAAAAAUGAUUUUCUUUAUGUAUUAUAUUUUAGUUUCUGGGAAGAGAAUUUUGAAGACCAAGAAAAUGGAUUGAUGACUUCUUGCUUAAGUUCUUCACAAACAAUCACCCUUUUGCUGUUAUUAGCCCUGGGUACAUUGUCAUUCAGACAAUAUGGAAAAUUGUGUAUAAUUGGACAGAUUCUCUCUUGGGCCACACAGAUCAACAUCCCAGAGCUGCAGAAGGCCACUGUAACUGCAAUUGUCACUUUCUUUACUCUGGUGACCUGCUCUUGCUGAGAUGAUUUCUCCAGAUUCUCUCCUGGCCCAGGAUGGGAUACACAAGCCUUUGCCUCUUAAAUGUGUCCUCCAGAAAAAGAUUUGGUUUCUUCUCCCUCAAAAAAGGACUUUGCUGUAACUAAGAAAAACAAAUGAAAAUAAAAUUACAGAGAACAGACCUGAUUAGUUACA
rnacentral:lncRNA from 1 species